rnacentral:rRNA from 1 species
AUGCACGCUGGCGGCGUGCCUAAUCCCUGCCAGUCGAGCGAACAGAUAAGGAGCUUGCUCCUUUGACGUUAGCGGCGGACGGGUGAGUAACACGUGGAUAACCUACCUAUAAGACUGGGAUAACUUCGGGAAACCGGAGCUAAUACCGGAUAACAUAUUGAACCGCAUGGUUCAAUAGUGAAAGGCGGCUUUGCUGUCACUUAUAGAUGGAUCCGCGCCGUAUUAGCUAGUUGGUAAGGUAACGGCUUACCAAGGCAACGAUACGUAGCCGACCUGAGAGGGUGAUCGGCCACACUGGAACUGAGACACGGUCCAGACUCCUACGGGAGGCAGCAGUAGGGAAUCUUCCGCAAUGGGCGAAAGCCUGACGGAGCAACGCCGCGUGAGUGAUGAAGGUCUUCGGAUCGUAAAACUCUGUUAUCAGGGAAGAACAAAUGUGUAAGUAACUGUGCACAUCUUGACGGUACCUGAUCAGAAAGCCACGGCUAACUACGUG